UAAGAAAACUGGACGUUCACA
rnacentral:piRNA from 1 species